ACAGAAUACACCUAUAAUUCGUUGCAACUGUUUGCACGAUAAACAUUUUUCUAGAGUCGACGGCUACAACACACACCUAGCAGCGAAAUGAAGAUAUGGCCGGGUGCCCUGUUGAUUGCGACGGUGAGCUGUGUGUCAUCUAUUUGUGACGAAUGCUGGCGAGACAACGAAAGGAAAGUGAUAUGCUACACCUAUGAAGUACCGGAAGAUUUGUGCCCCGGAGUUCCUGCGACAUAUUGCAAAAAACAAAAGCGGCGAUGCGUUUGCGGCUGCAAAUAUGGAACGUUUCGGAGGAUGGACUGGGCAUGCGUGCCAUAUAGAGAAUGCGAACACAGAACCAUGGAACCAAUGCACCUGCUGACGAGCAACGAAGACCUAAUCAUGGUGGGCGUUUCGGGAGACAUGUACCGAUGGGCUCCAGUCAGCUGCUUCAAAUCUCAAUUCAUUGCCUAUAAAAAUAACAAACUCCAACGCACCAUACAAUACGACACAGGUCGCUACGCACACUAAUGUUACGUUGGAGGUCGAGAUGCACAAGAAUGGAGCGGCAGCUGAUAUAAAGAUCAAUCCGGGCCGAAAGCCACCUGUGCACGUCUACCCAAAGUACGAAAUUUUGUAUGCUACUAAGCACUGCAUUAUUGUCGGUGACGUGCCACAUCCAACACUAAGAACAUACUGCACCUACUGGGUCAAGAAGAGCGCUGUGAAGAAUCGGCACUGGGCUUGUGACUUCAUACUAGACCAUUAUUGCCGAAGCCCUGAAAUUGUAAUUAAGGAUACACAAGACUGUUGGCCUGAAGGGAAUGCAUAAAGAUAGAAAUGAAUUGCACCAAAACAAUCGACUAUGACUUUCAAUGUAAGCGAAAAGCAGAAAGCUUCUAGAAACUAUUCGCUUGAAUAAAGAAUGGUCCG